rnacentral:rRNA from 1 species
UACGAAGGGUGCAAACGUUGCUCGGAAUUAUUGGGCGUAAAGCGCACGUAGGCGGCUUAGCAAGUCGGAAGUGAAAGCCCUCGGCUCAACCAAGGAAGUGCUUUCGAAACUGCUGAGCUUGAGUACUUAAGAGGAUCGCGGAAUUCCCGGUGUAGAGGUGAAAAUUCGUAGAUAUCGGGAGGAACACCGGUGGCGAAGGCGGCGACCUGGGGUAGAUACUGACGCUGAGGUGCGAAAGCGUGGGGAGCAAACAGG